rnacentral:rRNA from 1 species
AGCGAACGCUGGCGGCAGGCCUAACACAUGCAAGUCGAACGAACCUUUCGGGGUUAGUGGCGGACGGGUGAGUAACACGUGGGAACGUGCCUUUAGGUUCGGAAUAACUCAGGGAAACUUGUGCUAAUACCGAAUGUGCCCUUCGGGGGAAAGAUUAAUCGCCUUUAGAGCGGCCCGCGUCUGAUUAGCUAGUUGGUUGAGGUAAUGGCUCACCAAGGCGACGAUCAGUAGCUGGUCUGAGAGGAGGAUCAGCCACAUUGGGACUGAGACACGGCCCAAAAUCCUACGGGAGGCAGCAGUGGGGAAUCUUGCGCAAUGGGCGAAAGCAUGACGCAGCCAUGCCGCGUGAAUGAUGAAGGUCUUAGGAUUGUAAAAUUCUUUCAACGGGGACGAUAAUGACGGUACCCGGAGAAGAAGCCCCGGCUAACUUCGUG